CCUACGGGAGGCAGCAGUCGGGAAUAUUGCGCAAUGGAGGAAACUCUGACGCAGUGACGCCGCGUAUAGGAAGAAGUUUUUCGGAAUGUAAACUAUUGUCGUUAGGGAAGAGAAAGGACGGUAUCUAACCAGAAAGCCACGGCUAACUACGUGCCAGCAGCCGCGGUAAUACGUAGGUGGCAAGCGUUAUCCGGAUUUAUUGGGCGUAAAGGGAACGCAGGCGGUCUUUUAAGUCUGAUGUGAAAGCCUUCGGCUUAACCGGAGUAGUGCAUUGGAAACUGGGAGACCUGAGUGCAGAAGAGGAG
rnacentral:rRNA from 1 species